AUUGAACGCUGGCGGCAUGCUUUACACAUGCAAGUCGAACGGUAACAGGCCGCAAGGUGCUGACGAGUGGCGAACGGGUGAGUAAUGCAUCGGAACGUGCCCAGUCGUGGGGGAUAACUACUCGAAAGAGUAGCUAAUACCUCAUACGAUCUAUGGAUGAAAGCGGGGGACCGUAAGGCCUCGCGCGAUUGGAGCGGCCGAUGUCAGAUUAGGUAGUUGGUGGGGUAAAGGCUCACCAAGCCAACGAUCUGUAGCUGGGCUGAGAGGACGACCAGCCACACUGGGACUGAGACACGGCCCAGACUCCUACGGGAGGCAGCAGUGGGGAAUUUUGGACAAUGGGCGCAAGCCUGAUCCAGCAAUGCCGCGUGCAGGAAGAAGGCCUUCGGGUUGUAAACUGCUUUUGUACGGAACGAAACGGCUCUGGUUAAUACCCGGGGCUAAUGACGGUACCGUAAGAAUAAGCACCGGCUAACUACGUG
rnacentral:rRNA from 1 species